rnacentral:rRNA from 1 species
GACGAACGCUGGCGGCGUGCUUAACACGUGCAAGUCGAACGGAAAGGCCCUGCUUUUGUGGGGUGCUCGAGUGGCGAACGGGUGAGUAACACGUGAGUAACCUGCCCUUGACUUUGGGAUAACUUCAGGAAACUGGGGCUAAUACCGGAUAGGAGCUCCUGCUGCAUGGUGGGGGUUGGAAAGUUUCGGCGGUUGGGGAUGGACUCGCGGCUUAUCAGCUUGUUGGUGGGGUAGUGGCUUACCAAGGCUUUGACGGGUAGCCGGCCUGAGAGGGUGACCGGCGACAUUGGGACUGAGAUACGGCCCAGACUGCUACGGGAGGCAGCAGUGGGGAAUAUUGCACAAUGGGCGGAAGCCUGAUGCAGCAACGCCGCGUGCGGGAUGACGGCCUUCGGGUUGUAAACCGCUUUCGCCUGUGACGAAGCGUGAGUGACGGUAAUGGGUAAAGAAGCACCGGCUAACUACGUG